UAACACAGUGUAUAUGGUGCAUCUUUAGGA
rnacentral:piRNA from 1 species